UGCAAGUCGAGCGGGGAAAGGUAGCUUGCUACUUGACCUAGCGGCGGACGGGUGAGUAAUGCUUAGGAAUCUGCCUAUUAGUGGGGGACAACAUCUCGAAAGGGAUGCUAAUACCGCAUACGUCCUACGGGAGAAAGCAGGGGACCUUCGGGCCUUGCGCUAAUAGAUGAGCCUAAGUCGGAUUAGCUAGUUGGUGGGGUAAAGGCCUACCAAGGCGACGAUCUGUAGCGGGUCUGAGAGGAUGAUCCGCCACACUGGGACUGAGACACGGCCCAGACUCCUACGGGAGGCAGCAGUGGGGAAUAUUGGACAAUGGGGGGAACCCUGAUCCAGCCAUGCCGCGUGUGUGAAGAAGGCCUUUUGGUUGUAAAGCACUUUAAGCGAGGAGGAGGCUACCGAGAUUAAUACUCUUGGAUAGUGGACGUUACUCGCAGAAUAAGCACCGGCUAACUCUGUGCCAGCAGCCGCGGUAAUACAGAGGGUGCAAGCGUUAAUCGGAUUUACUGGGCGUAAAGCGCGCGUAGGUGGCCAAUUAAGUCAAAUGUGAAAUCCCCGAGCUUAACUUGGGAAUUGCAUUCGAUACUGGUUGGCUAGAGUAUGGGAGAGGAUGGUAGAAUUCCAGGUGUAGCGGUGAAAUGCGUAGAGAUCUGGAGGAAUACCGAUGGCGAAGGCAGCCAUCUGGCCUAAUACUGACACUGAGGUGCGAAAGCAUGGGGAGCAAACAGGAUUAGAUACCCUGGUAGUCCAUGCCGUAAACGAUGUCUACUAGCCGUUGGGGCCUUUGAGGCUUUAGUGGCGCAGCUAACGCGAUAAGUAGACCGCCUGGGGAGUACGGUCGCAAGACUAAAACUCAAAUGAAUUGACGGGGGCCCGCACAAGCGGUGGAGCAUGUGGUUUAAUUCGAUGCAACGCGAAGAACCUUACCUGGUCUUGACAUAGUAAGAACUUUCCAGAGAUGGA
rnacentral:rRNA from 1 species